GGAUGUGAGUGAGAUCUGGCUGUGACAUCUGUCACCCUGUUGAUUGCCAGGGUUGAUUUGGCUGAUAUGGCUGGCUAAGCAGGUGUCCCCAUUCUCUCUUACCGUCCUAUAUGUGUCUCUCUUGAAGCUGCACGUGUUCUGGUGGAAGAGGAUGACCUUCUUUUGUAGAAGAGGGCCAUCCUUCUGUAAAGGGCAUAAGAGUAGCUGUCCUCCCCUGCUAGAACUUCUAAAUUAGCUCUGAAGAAAUGUCCUUUAAUAUAAAAGCACAAUAGAUUAAAAGUAAGGAAUGGAAACACAAGUCAAAAGAAAUCUGGAGUAGCUAUAUUACUAU
rnacentral:snRNA from 1 species